AAACUGUGGUCCGCUCGCAGAAUCCCGUCUACUCAGAACGCGAAUCUCCGACUACCAGGCGACGGCGACGGCGACGGCGUUUCGUUUCUGAAACUUCAGCGACGGCGACGGCGACGGCGUUUCGUUUCUGAAACUUCAGCGACGGCGAAUACCUCCAUAUGGUGUAUAAAGAAUAAAGAAUAUAUGCAACAGUCCAAACUCGACAUGGAUGACAAACAAUUUCACUGGAGCCAGUGGCAACUGCUCGAUUCUAUCCUUCCUACUGGUGGCUUUGCACAUUCGUUCGGUCUCGAGGCUGCAAUUCAAGCUCGCAUUGUCUCACAACCAGAAGAUCUCAAAACGUUUGUGAUCCAUUUGUUAGACAACACUGGAAGUUUGCUUCUUCCUUUUGUGCAUUCGACCACGCUAUCACCUGAUUUAGAAACUUGGGAGAAAAAUGACAGAUUCUUGAAUGCAAUUUUGACAAAUGAAGUUAGUCGAAAGGCGUCCGUUACGCAAGGAUCAGCACUCAUGAGAGUUGCAGCAAUAGUAUUUUCUGAAAUCUCGUCUCUGAAAGCGAUGAGAGAAACCACCACAGGGACUGGGGCUGUUUCCUUCCACCACGCUCCCAUAUUCGGGCUAAUCUGCGGUCUACUAGGAUGGGAUAGCACGAUGUCGCAGAGGGCAUAUCUGUUUAUUACCCUGAGAGACGUGAUUUCUGCUGCAACAAGACUGAAUUUAGUAGGACCCUUGGGUGCAGCUGUGUUGCAGCAUCAGCUUGCGCUUGUUGCUGAAGACACAUUGAAAAAAUGGAUGAACCGUCCUGUUGAAGAAGCUUGCCAAACGGUUCCUCUGUUAGAGACAGUACAGGGAUGCCAUACGUACCUGUUUUCUAGGCUGUUCUGUUCUUGAAAAGUUUUGAAGUGUCCAAUUCUUUGCUUCCUGUGAUGUUGGGCAUACGAGGCGGCCCUUCUUUCCUGUGUUCGUAUUUUCGUCCAAUUCCAUACGAACACGUGAACAUGAUCGAACCUAUGUAUAAGGCACCUGACUCCCAUCAAUUGCGUGUGUAGUGUCACAAUCGCACUCUUGCGGUAGCGAGACAACGAUCGAACAGGUUAGUUGUGAGAAAUUUAGACUUCGUGGACAAUGUCAGUAUAUUCUUGAGCUUCUGGUCAUGUUUGCGAGAGAUGCUUUAGAAAACGUGAGCAAGAAAAUACAUUUGCCUUAAAUAGUAUGCAAUUCAGGGUAGGAAGAAUUGACUACUAGUUGCAUUAUCUAUGGUACAUUUUGAAGCAUUUUAGCACUAGCGGGUGUAGACAUGAUUUUGGUGUAUGGUCAUAUAUCCUUAUAUUGACACAACAUGGAAUAGUAAUGACCUAUCUAAGGGGUUUGGAAUGGGCGUGCAGCAAUGGACAACACGUCCUAGACAAAUAUGAUUGGGGCAUCCGACAUGUGGUCAUAGGCAACACGUCUUGGACAAGCAUGACCGUGACAUGUGGCGUGCAUAGUGUCAAAUACCAUUCUUGUUGACACUGGUCAUGCUCAUCAGAUUAAGUUGAAAGAACUCAAACCAAUAAUUGCCAAACUAUCUCCGAUUUGUGGUCAUAGAGCACAGUUCAUGACAUGGUCAUGUCUUCAAACUCAACUAAGGUGACCUACGAUGUUCUUCAAGUACAGCUAGAUUUUCUCCAGCUCCAUCUGCAAUAGUUGUUUUCCUCUUUUGCCAUUCAUGUCAUUGAAACUUCUUUUCCUAACAUAAGACUGAUUUCUCC